UUAUCCACUUUCAAGUUCCAACAAUAAACACUUUAUACCACGAAAAACUACAGAACCAAAGUCAACGCUAGUAUUUACCACCACGUACUUUUAAAGUAAUUCUUUCUAUUGUAAGUAAUUAACACUAUACACGCAAAAUUGUUGAACAAUUCAUUAAAUGUCAGUUAAAUGUGGCAUUAUGAAAAUUUCUUUACUGUUUUCGACAUAGUUCAAAAGUCAUCACCAGAGGGCGUCUAGUUAAUUUUAUUUCCGAAUUGAGUAAAGGAUGCAUUUUUGAGGCUGUGCCAACUGUGGGCGAAAAAAUCCCCAGAAAUGAGCGCCACCAACUUGAUUUUUCCCCCGACUAGCCACUGUUGCCAACUGCGUUUCUUUUUUGGCUUGUUAUGCAUCCGUGAAAUCAGGAAGUCUCGUCCAAUUCGUAAUCCGUCGGUUUGCUUAGGCCGCGUCGUAAAUUAACCGUCCGGCAGAUGUCUUGUCUGAAUAUUCAUUGCGGCCGGUUUCAUCAGAUUAAGACAUACACAGGUCGAAGGCGAGUUUGCUAUUGGCGAAUCCCUUGAUAUUACUCGGUUAACCGUCCCGUCUAUACAACAAACUUCUCUUUACUUUGGAGAAUUACUCGCUACGCUCGAUUGUCGCCAAUUCAAUCUUGUGAGUAGAAAAAAUCAAGUAGUUGGUGCCACCCAGCCACCUCAAACUUUUUAAUUAAACCCUCGUCCAACUCUUUAAUUACCCCCGGAAUUUUGCGAUUCAAAUCAGCCACGGCCAACUACUUCCAAAGCCUGGCUUAGUCAAAUCAAGCACUCGGGCCGAACCAAAAUGAUAACAAAACACAAUCGAUAAUAACAAUAAUACGCGCUAUCAGUGUGACGUAGACAUUUGAGGUAGGUCAGCACCUUAAAGCUAAACAAUCGCCAUUUUCAAUGCUUUUCUUAUGGGCAUUUAAAAGUUUUUCGUAUUUCUUUAAUGCUAGAAGUGUAGGAACAUUACUUUUACAGAGAAAUGAUAGCUAUGAAAAAUGCAAUGUCGUUUCUUAAAGAUUUUAGCAACUGAGCUAAUAUUUCUUUUUUCUUAAUUUGGACAUCAUAUUGAUGUAAAUUAUUAUGUGGCCUUUUAAAACUGAGGGAAAAAUGGUUUGCCACACUAAUGACAUUGGAUUUCUUCUGAAUGACGAAUUCAUGGGGUGCAACCGGCGCAACCCCAAUAAACGGGUUGUUUUCUGUCCCCCUCCCCCAUCACGAGGGAUGAAUAGCAGGUAUACGAGGGUAGAGGGUUCAGGCACAUACAUGGUUGAAAGUAGUACGGGUUGUGAGUUCUGUGCUUCUUUCGUGAGUGUCUUUUGUUAUCGUGUUUUUUCCGAUCGUUCUCCAUAUCUUCGUGUUCUUGAAUUUUUAAAAUUCUGUUUUUCCAAGACAUUAUCUCAUUUUUGUGGUACAUCAUUAGGUUUUUACAUCACAACUAUGGGAAUGUGUUGGGCUCCAGAUUGCAAACACUAUAGUACUCGCGAUAAAUGCCAUUUUUUUAGUUUUCCUAAGUCGGGAAAAGAACGAGCACUAUGGAAAAAAUUGUUGAGAAGAGAUGUAGAACCCGGACCAGGAGCCUACGUUUGCAGCUGCCAUUUUCGGGAUGGAAGAAAGGAAAAUGGUCCUGAAUUAUUUUUGCACAAUAUCGCAAAAAGAGCCUAUUUUCAAGUGGAAUCUCCAGAAAAAAAAAAGAUGAAAAAACAAGGACUCCCUUCUUGUUCUAGUUCCGCUGAAUCAUUAAGUGUUGAUAUACCGGAAGAAACAGUACCAUCGACAAUGAAUUUAGAGGAAGUGCCAUCGACGUCUACAGCCGUAGUUGCAGCACCAGCAGAUAUAAUUCAAGAUGCUCCGUUAGAAUCUAUGGGUGUGCAAGCACCCUUGGUGUCACAUGCGGCUCUUGAAGCAGAAAUGUAUUUUCUCAAAAAGGAAAAUGCUGAACUUAAAGCAAAAAUACAAUAUCUGACAGUACGAUUUUGCUAUGAAAAUGUUCAAGGAAAUGACAAACUCAUUGUUUUAUAUACCGGUCUUCCCAAUAGCCAGAUUUUCGAAGCAUUGUUUCACUUAAUCGAAAAGUUGGACAUAAAAUAUUACCACAAAUGGACAGUCCAAAAGUUAACUAGAAUUGACCAACUCUUUUUAACCCUAGUAAAAUUACGACUCAAUUUCCCUCAACUUGAUUUGGCGCAACGCUUUGGGGUUGCCCAAAGCACAGUUUCUAAUAUUAUUUUAACAUUUGUCCAUGUAAUAUAUGAAAUUUUAUAUAAACAGUUUAUGACGACAAUGCCUUCGCGCGAAAAAAAUAAAUCUUGCUUGCCAACAUGUUUUAGCAAUUUUACUAAUUGUAGAGCAGUUCUAGAUUGUACCGAAAUUUUCACUGUGGUAUCACGUAAGUCUAUGUCAACACAGAAAUUAACAUAUAGUACUUACAAACAUCAUAAUACUUUCAAAGGGCUAAUUGGAGUUGCACCCAAUGGUGUCAUCACAUUUGUAAGUGAUUUAUACGUGGGAUCAACUUCUGAUCAAAAAGUUGUUUUAAAUUGUGGAAUAAUCGACAUGUUAAAAACUGGAGAUAUGAUUUUAGCCGAUAAGGGAUUUUUGAUCCAAAAUAUUCUGCCACCAGGGGUCACUUUGAAUAUUCCACCUUUUUUAUCAAAUGUCCAAUUUACACCAGAGCAAGUUAAGUGUACCGAAAAUAUUGCACGUGCAAGAAUACACGUCGAAAGGGCAAUACGCCGAUUAAAAUGUUAUCAUAUUUUAAAUUUUUUGCCAGAGUCUUUGUGCCACUAUGGAGAUAUUGUUUUUAAAGCGACUGCCGCUUUAACAAACCUCCAAUUUCCAUUAAUUAAAGAGGUAGCAGAAUUGUUUCAGGAUUGUGAUGAUUAAAAUAAUGUAAAAUAAAAACCAUCUAUUUAUAUACAGUUUAUUAUUGUGAAAUAAAGGAAAUAUAUUGGUCAAGAUAAAA